GAUGAACGCUGGCGGCGUGCCUAAUACAUGCAAGUCGAGCGAAGCGGGGACGGGUGAGUAAGACGUGGAUAACCUCCUAUACGAUUGGGAUAACUUCGGGUAACCGGAGCUAAACCGGAUACUGAUUGAUGAAUCUUCGCUGCAUUAGCUAGUUGGUAAGGUAACGGAUUACCAAGGCAAUGAUGCAUCGGCGACCUGAGAGGGUGAGCAGCCACACUGGAACUGAAACACGGUCCAGACUCAUACGGGAGGCAGCAGUAGGGAAUCUUCCGCCAGGGGCGAAAGCCUGACUGGACAACGCCGCGUGAGUGAAGAAGGUCUUCGGCUCGUAAAACUCUUUUAUUUGGGAAGCGGUACCUUAUCAGAAAGCAACGGCUAACUCCGUGCCAGCAGCCGCGGUAAUAC
rnacentral:rRNA from 1 species